rnacentral:rRNA from 1 species
GAUGAACGCUGGCGGCGUGCCUAAUACAUGCAAGUCGAGCGAACGGACGAGAAGCUUGCUUUUCUGAUGUUAGCGGCGGACGGGUGAGUAACACGUGGAUAACCUACCUAUAAGACAGGGAUAACUUCGGGAAACCGGAGCUAAUACCGGAUAAUAUUUUGAACCGCAUGGUUCAAAAGUGAAAGACGGUCUUGCUGUCACUUAUAGAUGGAUCCGCGCUGCAUUAGCUAGUUGGUAAGGUAACGGCUUACCAAGGCAACGAUGCAUAGCCGACCUGAGAGGGUGCUCGGCCACACGGGAACUGAGACACGGUCCAGACUCCUACGGGAGGCAGCAGUAGGGAAUCUUCCGCAAUAGGCGAAAGCCUGACGGAGCAACGCCGCGUGAGUGAUGAAGGUCUUCGGAUCGUAAAACUCUGUUAUUAGGGAAGAACAUAUGUGUAAGUAACUGUGCACAUCUUGACGGUACCUAAUCAGAAAGCCACGGCUAACUACGUG